rnacentral:lncRNA from 1 species
AGACAGAUGUUGCCUGCUUCUUUUGUACUGUGUCACGGGCUUGCAAAAGCCUGGGGCACAAUUUAGUCUUAGUUUUGACUUUUUUUUUUUUUUUUUUUUUUUUUUUUUGUUAAAGGCAAAGAGCCGAGCCCCAAUUCCUGUUUCCCUGUAUGUGUGUGAUGUGACUUCCAUGUGUAUAUAAAACUAUUGCACCCUAACCAAACUUCCUCAGACUGUGCACUGUUUGUUGAAAAUAAUCACGUAUUUUAGUUCAAUGCUGUUGUAUUUUUUCUUUUUAUUUAAAACACUACUUAUUCUCUAACAAAUUUCAAAGGGUAGUGAUCUAAAAAAAUCACUGGAAACUAGGAAAUGUUUCUGUUGUUGCUUUGUUCUUUAAAGAGUGCAAAGGUCACGGAAUCUUUUGCUCUUCUUACCUUGAACAUGAAUUGUCAGCCAUUGUGUGGCUAGGAACCAGUGCACUUGGCGUUCACAGAUCUGCUGUUGCUGGGACUGAGCGUGGACUUGAUGCAGUGACAACAAAUCACUGCGUAGACGGAAUGUUUUCCAAAUGUGCAACUCAAGUUUGUAAAAUGAAUUUGGUUCUUUACAUCAUUAUUUAGGUUUUGUUUCCAUUUAGUAUUUAAUGGUCUUUGGAGAAAAAAAAAACAGAGUGUUAUAUAUAUAUUUUUUGGUGCAAGAUAAGAUUUUGUUUUUUGAAAUAAGUCUGUAGCAUAAAGGUUAAACUAUUUUAAGAUAAAAUAAAAAUAGAGUGUAUUUAAACAG